rnacentral:lncRNA from 12 species
ACUUUGACUGCCUGCUGGUUUAUUUCAUGCACCUGCUUUUGGAGGAAGGAGAGACAGGAUUUUAAGAGGACAUUUUGAGGCCAGAGCUGACAUUUGACCUGAUGUAUCCCACAGGAACUUGGAAAACAAAAGCACUUAUUCAUAAUGUGUGAUUUAAACAUUUGCAAUUAUAUUUACAUAUCAACACAUAAAUGGUGUGGAUUUCUCCAUCUUUGAUGCCUUGAAUUACGGGAGUCUCUCCCUACUACUAUGCAUAAAAACUGCCUAGAAUAACUAAUUUCCUGAGGACUAUAAGUUAUGGAAGCAAAGCAUAAAAGAAAAAGAUACUCAUAUUUAUAAUCUCCAGAUUAUAAAUACAAGAGUAAUGCUGUGAUUUAUUGCGACACAAUGUAUUUGCGGGAAUUGAUGAACAGCAGAUGUCCAGGGACCUGUGAAAACAUCUGCAAUGACUACUUGAAGAGGUGACAUCUUGUGUUCUUCAAAUUGUUAAGGACCUAAGGUCCUUGGCAGCAGCAAAUGAAAACUAUGCCAGCUAAAGCUCAGGGAAACCGUAUAAGCAAUGAGGAUGUGAAAGGAGAUACAGAAUUCAUGACCAGGAUCAAAGAAGCAGUGUACAUUCCACUCUUUGUCUAA